CCUUAUGACCUGGGCUACACACGUGCUACAAUGGAUGGUACAAAGGGCAGCGAAACCGCGAGGUGAAGCCAAUCCCAUAAAGCCAUUCUCAGUUCGGAUUGCAGGCUGCAACUCGCCUGCAUGAAGCCGGAAUUGCUAGUAAUCGCGGAUCAGCAUGCCGCGGUGAAUACGUUCCCGGGUCUUGUACACACCGCCCGUCACACCACGAGAGUUUGUAACACCCGAAGUCGGUGAGGCAACCUUUUGGAGCCAGCCGCC
rnacentral:rRNA from 1 species